CGGAGAACGCUGGCGGCGUGCCUAACACAUGCAAGUCGAGCGGAGUCGAUCGACGGAAGCCUUCGGGCGGAAGAUGGUUGACUUAGCGGCGGAUGGGUGAGUAACGCGUGGGCAACCUGCCUCGAAGACCGGGAUAACAGACCGAAAGGGCUGCUAAUACCGGAUGUGGUCAAGGAUCCGCAUGGAUCUUUGAUUAAAGGGGAAACCCGUUUCGAGAUGGGCCCGCGUCCUAUCAGCUAGUUGGUGAGGUAAAAGCUCACCAAGGCGACGACGGGUAGCCGGCCUGAGAGGGUGACCGGCCACACUGGAACUGAGACACGGUCCAGACUCCUACGGGGGGCAGCAGUGGGGAAUCUUCCACAAUGGGCGAAAGCCUGAUGGAGCGACGCCGCGUGAGCGAAGAAGGCCUUCGGGUUGUAAAGCUCUGUCUGGAGGGACGAAGGAAGUGACGGUACCUCCGGAGGAAGCCACGGCUAACUACGUG
rnacentral:rRNA from 1 species